rnacentral:lncRNA from 1 species
AUUAGGAUUUAUAUACAAUAUAUAUAUUGUAUAUAUAUAUAUGACACAUCAAGGGAAAGAAGCUCCUGUCAAUUAUCAAAUAAAUACCAUAUUUUUUUUAAGAAUUGCACAGACAUUUAACUUUCAGAGUCCAAAUGAGAUACAAACAAUUGCAGAGGAAAGUUGUCCCCUGGGUGAACAAAAACAUUAUCCAGCUUCCUAUGAAAAUCACCUUUCAUUUGUAUAGUGUAGAUAUUAGGAAUGAAAACAGUAAAAGGAAAGUGAGAUUUAUAAAAUAACAAUAGGCUGUGAAGCAGAGAGAAAGGCCAGGAAAUUAGGAUUUAGGACAUUUGACCCAUGGCUUCAGUUAGAGGGGGAUGAGAAAAUCUAACCUUCAGUUUUUAAGAGGCUUACUUUGUACUGGACAUUUUCUCACUAAAACUUUCAUUACAUGUAGUUUUCCAUGUAGAAGGCAUGAAAUGAAACGUUAUUUUCUCCAUGGAUUUUAUGGGUUGAAUGUGAUGAAUUUGCCUACACAGCAUUGCCUUUAUUCCAUAUUCAAUUUGGCAUAUAUUUUUUCCUGAUUUCUUCUACUGACAAACACAAAGCUUGUUUGUGUGCAAAUAAAAGGCUAAAUAAAAUGGUGCUAAAGUGUAUUAUGACUGUCAGAUAUAAUCAGGCAAAAUUUUGUGGUGCUUCAAUUAAUUUCUCAUUGAUUUUAUUGACCAGUGUGUUGAACAGCGUUUACUCACAAAUUGUGUUUUAUUAGUAAAAUUAAUGCUUCAUAGCACAUUGUUAACAGAAAGGUUGCCUAGAUUAUGUAAUAGCUCACCAAGCUAUUUUCUCCUUGACUCCUUAUAAUGAUGUGUCAUUAGAGGUCAAGGGCCAUGCUAUUAAUCUCAUUCUAUAGAUCAGUAACAUAACUGACCAUUUUUCACAUAGUACUUAUGUU